ACUCAUCUCUAACAUGGAGUCUCUUUUAUAAUCCCUCACACCUGUCCUAAACCUUACACUUUGGCCCCUUCUACACUGCAACAUAAUCCAGAUUAUCAAAACGAAAAAUCCACAUCUGUUUUGGAUUAUAUGAGUCUACACUGCCAUAUAAUCCAGUUCAGAGCACAUAAUCUGGAUUUUAUAUGGCAGUGUAGAAGGGGCCUUAGGCUCAACUCCUGAGAAUAAGGUUUACCAAAGCGGCAGGCAGUAAAUGGCGAAGGAAGUUUUUGAAACGGGUGAAAUGCACCACAUCUAAAGGGUACCCAUCAUCACAGACCCGAUUGACCACCCAGGUGCCAGUUCUGGUGCUCAGGAAGAUCUGUGCCAGGGAGAAAGGGGGCAAAUCACAAAAGAAAAAUCAUCAGGUGUAUUAGUUGCUGCGCAUUAAGCUUUACAUGGAAUCAAUUUGUGGACUCAUGGAGUCUCUAAAAGUGUAUCAGAACCAAGGUGCAGAAUGCAGAAUCUGGUGAUGUAGUAACAUUGAAUCACUUCCAACUGCAGGUGGAGAAAUAACAUUUUAAUGCUCCUUUAGAGAGGAAAAAUAUGGAUUUAAGGAGCUGUCUUCCCCUUGUGUGUAAAAAGCAAGUGAGGCCCUUCUACAUUACUAUAUAAAAUCCAGAUUGUCUGCUUCAAAGGAAAAUUCAAAAUUUAGGGCCUCUUCUAGCGAAGGAGACCCGCGCUGAAUCCUGCAAGGAGGGUUGCACAACACCUGGUGAGCCUUCCGAGAAGCAAAUCAGAAUUUCCCUGUCCAAAAUGAUUAUCUCAUCCAAGAUCUGUGAAGCAGAGAGCACCGAAGCCUUUUAUUCUGUCCAGCUGUACAGGAUGACGGUCGCAAUAUGAUGAAGAAAUAAACCGGCAUACAUUUACAA